GAAAACCCAUGUAACGCUAUAGCGUAUGCAUUCAAGGACUUAUGAAUUAAGGUGCAGGGUAGUUGAAAAUGACAAACAUCAGAUUUCAAGAUGUCUGCCCCCGAUCUUUUCUUUAGAAAAAAUAUAUAUAUGCUCAGCCAAAGCGGGAAAAAUCUCUUUUCUGUUCUACCUUUAGAGGAAGCAGUGCGCGACGUGUGUAGAGUAAUUUUCUAAAUCGAUAAAGCUCAUUAAAGCUAUUAAAAGGUUGUAAAAUAAUAGUACGGUGUGAGAAAAAUUAAAAAUAAAACGGUUAGUGCUGGCUUCAAAAGUGAAUAAAAGAAGCUAUUGUUAAAAAAGUUGAGGUUAAAAGAUUUUUGUAUUGUUUAUUCCUUAGUACAUACAACAGUUUGUUACAACAAAAGAAACGGAAAAAUUGUUAAAACUAUAUAAAUACAAAGGAAAAAGGUAAAUUAUACUAAUAGAUACUGAACAUGUAAAGAAAAUUCAAAAAGGACGUCACAACUGGGUAUCUAAUCUAUGUGGCAGGUCCAAAAUCGGGCCUUUUUUUUUCUUUGGAGAUUCUUUCGAGAACCACUCCAUUUUUCCCACAGAAAACGCGGAGGAUAAUUCGGUCGGCCUUUGGAAGCGCAACUGCAGUAUAAAGAACCUCUUAAUACGCCAAUGGUACAACAGAAAAGACCAGCCGACCAAUCCAAGCUCCAGUGCGUGUGAAUAGCCGACGCCAUUUUGUUUCGGAUUCCCCAGCCGCUUUUGAGCAUCCGCCAUUCGGGAAAAUCGAGGAGAAGAAGCGUUCCUAUUCCUGACCACCAGCCGGUGUUCCGUUGCCGUUGUUUUUAUUUGGCAAACAUCCGUCCAAAGCCAUCGUCAGUCGAUCAAGGAUCGCCAUCAGUAUCAAGCCGCCGCCGAGAGCCCGUUGGCUGCCACCUGCCAACAAUUGCCACCAACAAACCACCACCAUCGUCAAGAACGCCGCUACCAGCGGUACCAGGUCGCCGCCGUCAUCUAGACAAGGUCGCCGCCAUCGUUAAGAACGCCGCUACCAGCGGUACCAGGUCGCCGCCGUCAUCUGGACAAGGUCGCCGCCAUCGUUAAGAACGCCGCCGCCUGUUCCAGGCCGCCGCCCUCAGUACCGCCACCACCAUUUAGAAAGCCGCCCUCGGUACAAAAACGCCACCGCCUGUUCCAGGCCGCCGCCCUCAGUACCACCACCACCGUUCGAAACGCCACCACCACCACGAGCAACCUACAGACCACUACCGGCCAGCAACCGCAAGUAUACCCUAUAGUUAGUGACGUCCUUAGGGCCCGAUAGGUUCAAUAAAACUAAAAAUGUUGUUCAAUUUUAAAAA